GAUGAACGCUGGCGGCGUGCCUAAUACAUGCAAGUCGAGCGAACGGACGCGAAGCUUGCUUCUCUGAUGUUAGCGGCGGACGGGUGAGUAACACGUGGAUAACCUACCUAUAAGACUGGGAUAACUUCGGGAAACCGGAGCUAAUACCGGAUAAUAUUUUGAACCGCAUGGUUCAAAAGUGAAAGACGGUCUUGCUGUCACUUAUCGAUGGAUCCGAGCUGCAUUAGCUAGUUGGUAAGGUAACGGCUUACCAAGGCAACGAUGCAUAGCCGACCUGAGAGGGUGAUCGGCCACACUGGAACUGAGACACGGUCCAGACUCCUACGGGAGGCAGCAGUAGGGAAUCUUCCGCAAUGGGCGAAAGCCUGACGGAGCAACGCCGCGUGAGUGAUGAAGGUCUUCGGAUCGUAAAGCUCUGUUAUUAGGGAAGAACAGAUGUGUAAGUAACUGUGCACAGCGUGACGGUACCUAAUCAGAAAGCCACGGCUAACUACGUG
rnacentral:rRNA from 1 species